GACGAACGCUGGCGGCGUGCUUAACACAUGCAAGUCGAACGGUGAAGCUCCAGCUUGCUGGAGUGGAUCAGUGGCGAACGGGUGAGUAACACGUGAGCAACCUGCCCCUGACUCUGGAAUAAGCGCUGGAAACGGCGUCUAAUACUGGAUACGAGAAGGGUCCGCAUGGGCACUUUCUGGAAAGUUUUUCGGUUGGGGAUGGGCUCGCGGCCUAUCAGCUUGUUGGUGAGGUAAUGGCUCACCAAGGCGACGACGGGUAGCCGGCCUGAGAGGGCGACCGGCCACACUGGGACUGCGACACGGCCCAGCCUCCUGCGGGGGGCGGCAGUGGGGAAUAUUGCACAGGGGGCGAAGGCCUGAUGCAGCGACGCCGCGGGGGGGAUGACGGCCUUCGGUUUGUAAACCUCUUUCAGCGGGGAAGAAGGGAAAGGGACGGUCCCUGAAAAAGAAGCCCCGGCUACCUCCGUG
rnacentral:rRNA from 1 species